rnacentral:rRNA from 1 species
AUGUUCUUCUGCCGCCCCCUACGCCUCCGUCGGCCUACCAUUGCGGAGAAGUUCAUAUCUUGGGAGAGCAGCCUAGCUCUGCCUAGAGAAGUCGUCGGUGGUGCCAUCUUCACAGAUUGUCCGUGUGGAAGCAGAUUUGUUGCUACAGCUCGACUCGCAACAGGUUCAUCCACCAUGGUAACCGCUAACACCGGCGCCAAAGAAGAAACCCCCAUCGGCUGCGGCAAGGCACUUGACGAAGCAGCUGGCGGCUUGGCGUAUGAGUGGCUCUACGAGGGAUUUUUAUGUGUUAAUAUUUGGAAUUACUUAAACAUGUAUGCAUACCUCUACGGACACUCCUCAGUGUUGUCUACUAUGAGGAAAAUGAAGCAAGGCAAUGCACGGAUUGGUGGGUUAGUUUCUUAA